rnacentral:tRNA from 1 species
GCGGUUGUAGUGUAAAGGAGGGCACAUCACUAAUUUUAGUAUGCGCACAAGUGAUAGAUUGGGUUCGAUUCCCGACAGCCGCUCA